rnacentral:miRNA from 1 species
GCACCGUGCAGCAGCUGAGUGUGUGUGUGUGUGUGUGUGUGUGUGUGUGUGUGUGCGCGCUCAAGGGCACACACACACACACGCACACACAUAGG